rnacentral:snRNA from 1 species
GAGCUUGCUUCGGCAGCACAUAUACUAAAACUGGAACGAUACAGAGAAGAUUAGCAUGGCCCCUGCAUAAGGAUGACACGUGAAUUCGUGAAGUGUUCCAUAUUUUU